CCUACGGGGGGCAGCAGUGGGGAAUAUUGCACAAUGGGCGAAAGCCUGAUGCAGCAACGCCGCGUGAGCGAUGAAGGCCUUCGGGUCGUAAAGCUCUGUCCUCAAGGAAGAUAAUGACGGUACUUGAGGAGGAAGCCCCGGCUAACUACGUGCCAGCAGCCGCGGUAAUACGUAGGGGGCUAGCGUUAUCCGGAAUUACUGGGCGUAAAGGGUGCGUAGGCGGUCUUUCAAGUCAGAAGUGAAAGGCUACGGCUCAACCGUAGUAAGCUUUUGAAACUGUAAGACUUGAGUGCAGGAGAGGAGAGUGGAAUUCCUAGUGUAGCGGUGAAAUGCGUAGAUAUUAGGAGGAACACCAGUUGCGAAGGCGGCUCUCUGGACUGUAACUGACGCUGAGGCACGAAAGCGUGGGGAGCAAACAGGAUUAGAUACCCGGGUAGUCC
rnacentral:rRNA from 1 species